rnacentral:rRNA from 1 species
UACGUAGGGUGCGAGCGUUGUCCGGAAUUAUUGGGCGUAAAGGGCUCGUAGGCGGUUUGUUGCGUCGGCUGUGAAAUCCCGAGGCUCAACCUCGGGUCUGCAGUCGAUACGAGCAAACUAGAGUGUUGCAGGGGAGACUGGAAUUCCUGGUGUAGCGGUGGAAUGCGCAGAUAUCAGGAGGAACACCAAUGGCGAAGGCAGAUCUCUGGGCCGUAACUGACGCUGAGGAGCGAAAGCAUGGGGAGCGAACAGG